CCUACGGGAGGCAGCAGUGGGGAAUAUUGCACAAUGGGGGAAACCCUGAUGCAGCAACGCCGCGUGGGUGAAGAAGUAUUUCGGUAUGUAAAGCCCUAUCAGCAGGGAAGAGAAUGACAGUAUCUGUCUCAGAAGCCCCGGCUAACUACGCGUCACCAGCCGCGGUAAUACGUAGGGGGCAAGCGUUAUCUGGAUUUACUGGGUGUAAAGGGAGCGUAGACGGGUGUGCAAGUCUGAAGUGAAAGCCCGCGGCUCAACUGCGGAACGGCAUUUGAAACUGUGUAACUGGAGUGCUGGAGAGGUAAGCGGAAUUCCUGGUGUAGCGGUGAAAUGCGUAGAGAUCAGGAGGAACACCAGCGGCGAAGGCGGCUUGCUGGACAACAACUGACGGUGAGGCUCGAAAGCGUGGGGAGCAAACAGGAUUAGAUACCCCGGUAGUC
rnacentral:rRNA from 1 species